rnacentral:snoRNA from 1 species
AACCCAUGAUUUGGGCCCUUUCUCAUCAUCAUUUUGAAUCUCUCUCAUGUCUCACAGAAAGCUUCAUCUGAUUCUUGUCUAAACAUAGAAAUUUCAGACUUUGCUU